CCUACGGGAGGCAGCAGUGAGGAAUAUUGGUCAAUGGACGAGAGUCUGAACCAGCCAAGUAGCGUGAAGGAUGACUGCCCUAUGGGUUGUAAACUUCUUUUAUAAAGGAAUAAAACGAGGCACGUGUGCCUUUUUGCAUGUACUUUAUGAAUAAGGAUCGGCUAACUCCGUGCCAGCAGCCGCGGUAAUACGGAGGAUCCGAGCGUUAUCCGGAUGUAUUGGGGUUAAAGGGAGCGUAGAUGGGGUGUUAAGUCAGUUGUGAAAGUUUGCGGCUCAACCGUAAAAUUGCAAUUGAUACUGGCAGUCUUGAGUACAGUUGAGGUAGGCGGAAUUCGUGGUGUAGCGGUGAAAUGCUUAGAUAUCACGAAGAACCCCGAUUGCGAAGGCAGCUUACUAAACUGUGACUGACAUUGAUGCUCGAAAGUGUGGGUAUCAAACAGGAUUAGAUACCCGUGUAGUC
rnacentral:rRNA from 1 species